AACGUCCUCUAUUACGAUACAUUUUGGAUAGUUGCGACUGAUGCUGUUUAGAGCGUAAGACUAAAGAAUCACGAUGAGAGACUCACGGUGGAGACGCGAGUGAAACAGUAGACGAGCGACAAAGCAACGUUCAAUGUUUCACUCAACGAACACCAAACGCGAAUAUUCGAAUAUUUGUCGCUCGUCAUUUGAUAGCAUUCUACAAAUUGUGCUUGUAGCUGUAUCAGACUACAAACAUUUUACGAACAAGAUAUGCGCAGCAGAGAGCAAUCCAUUAUUUAAAAUGGCUAUUGAUAUUUUGAAUAAAGGCAUGAGGGCACACACAUACAAGCUCCGUGCAGAAAUAUUAAAGCCUAUUUUUUUUACUGAAGGCUCACAUUCUGAAACUUGUGUAUUAAUUGAUUGCCAAACCAAUGCUGGAUAUUUGGCUGGUGUACUUUUCAAAAAUACAUCAAGUUUUGAGGAAUUAUCAGUCUGCAAUAUGGGAUGUUCAACUCGAAAAAAAAACUACCUAUAUUGCACAAAUCGAUUCCAAUAUAUUGGAAAAUAAUUUUUAUAAUGUUAUAAAUGAUAACAUUAUAUUAACUGGAAAAAAAGUGUUGUUAAAAGAAUUGUCCAGGUUUUGAAACAACAUUUUGCAAAAUAGGUUUCAUAGUAUUAUUUGACGUUUGUACUUUUAAAAAUAAAAGUCAACCAAUAAAAUUAUUACAAAAAACCUCCAAUGUCAACACGAGGAAUGGAAAUAAUACAUAGCAUUGGACAUUAUACGGCGAUCAGUUGGCAAUCUGGAAGUUGGAUCGAAUACAAUGAUCUCACAGUAGAAGCCAAAAAUAUUAAAAAAACAAAACUAGUAUAUCCACAUGUUCUUAUGUACAUUUGUAAUAAUUAAAUAAA